AGGGGGAGGCUAUGGUAAGGUGGUGUAGCGCCGCUCCCCGCUCCCUUAUGCUGUUUACAUGUGCAAAGGAGAGAGACAGGGGGAACCAUAUAUCUGGGUAUUUGAAUGCAGCACAGCCACAGAGGCAAAAUCCGCGGAGAUGGGUCCGAGAAAUAUUUAACAUCAGAUUUGGACAAUAUGAGCAUCACACGAUGACUAUGUCCCCUGUACAGGCAGUGCACUGGCCAUCACUAAGUUCUCCUACCUCAGAGCUGAAUCAGGUGUGUCAGUGCUUGGCUGGAACAAAAGCCUGCACACCUAAUAGCUCUUCAGGACCAGGGUUGGAGACCACUGCCCGUACCAGUAAAAGGAUGGCAUGAGAGACGGCCUUGGUGGUCCUCCUUAGCACUCCUGGAUGAGAUGGAAGAUACUGAUAUAGCAGCAGCAGUAACCCAGCUAUCGCUCUGGGUGCUGUGAAGACCCAACCAGUUGAUCCAGUCAGAAGGUGGGCCUUCCUCUAUCCCUUCCUCACCCUCAGCCAAUGCUAGACUCCCACCACAGCCCAGAUUCCCAUAGAUACUUCCUCCUUCGGUCAUUCGAGAGCACAUAGAUCAGGGAUCAUCAACUAGAUUCAGCCGCGGGCUGAUUUUUUCUUGAGUGGAUGGUCAGGGAGCCAGAAUUGAC